ACAUGCAAGUCGAGCGAGGAGAUCCUUCGGGAUGAUCCUAGCGGCGGACGGGUGAGUAACACGUGGGCAACCUGCCUCAUAGAGAGGAAUAGCCUUCCGAAAGGGAGAUUAAUACCUCAUAACAUUGCAGUUUCGCAUGGAACAGCAAUUAAAGGAGUAAUCCGCUAUGAGAUGGGCCCGCGGCGCAUUAGCUAGUUGGUGAGGUAAACGGCUCACCAAGGCGACGAUGCGUGGCCGACCUGAGAGGGUGAUCGGCCACAUUGGGACUGAGACACGGCCCAGACUCCUACGGGAGGCAGCAGUGGGGAAUAUUGCACAAUGGGGGAAACCCUGAUGCAAGCAACGCCGCGUGAGUGAUGACGGCCUUCGGGUUGUAAAGCUCUGUCUUCAGGGACGAUAAUGACGGUACCUGAGGAGGAAGCCACGGCUAACUACGUGCCAGCCGCAGC
rnacentral:rRNA from 1 species